rnacentral:ncRNA from 2 species
UUUCGCGGUAGAGGUGCGGCGGCCAUGAGUAGCCAGCCCGGAUUUUCCGAUUGAGCUUCGGGAGGACCGGCGAAAGGGGCCGAAAGCAGUAUCCGCCGAAGCUGGUUGGAAACCUCAAGUCCAUUCGGUUGGGGAGUCGGGCUAACACCUGCUCACUGUCACCCGUUCACAGGCGGGUGGAGCGCUAUCGGGAUU